UACGGGGGGGGCAAGCGUUGUUCGGAAUUACUGGGCGUAAAGGGCUCGUAGGCGGCCAACUAAGUCGGAUGUGAAAUCCCCAGGCUUAACCUGGGAACUGCAUCCGAUACUGGAUGGCUUGAAUCCGGGAGAGGGAUGCAGAAUUCCAGGUGUAGCGGUGAAAUGCGUAGAUAUCUGGAGGAAUACCGAUGGCGAAGGCAGCCCCCUGGGAUAACACUGACGCUCAUGCACGAAAGCGUGGGGAGCAAACAGG
rnacentral:rRNA from 1 species